UUAUUGUUACUAUAGCUAUGUGGGGUGGGGGAGGGAUGUGGGAUAAGAGGACAAUUUACAGUAGUCAGUUUCUUCUUACAUCCUAUGAGUCCUAGAAAUCAAAUUCAUGUUAUCAAGCUUGGUGGUAAUAGUAAUGACAUAUGGUGGACCUAAGGGCAGAGUGACUCUAGACAGAUCAGUUUCAGCAUGACCACUAACAUAAAGGCACUGAGAUGACCAUGCACAAGGGACCUCACCAGUACAGGGUUGUGCGGUGACUUCUUGUAGAUGUUAUAUUUGAAUCUGUUGUCAUCAACCCUCAUUUACAAAGUCAAGGCAAAAUAUCAAAGAAGCUUUCUUCAAUGUUCCUAUUCUUCCCACAAAUGACUAAAAAGACUAACUAUUCCUAAAACAUUGGCUCAUUCUGCUUCAACCCAGAUAAACCUGGAUCUCUCCUUUGUAAACUA